AGGUGGGAAAAAAAAAUCAAAUCCCCUGCUUCUGUUCUCCUCCCCGCGAGCCAUCCCCAUCUCCUACCGACCCCGCCGCUUCAUCGCCGCCGCGGCCGCCGACGAUGACAUGAACCAGUCGAUGCAGAAGAACACCCUCUACAUAGUUGUCGUCGGUGCAGGUGGGCUCGCGGAGGAGGUGGUCGAGAAGAUCCUGCACUCGGCGUUGGUGUCGUUUGGGGAGGUAAGGACAUCAAGAUGCGGCUAGACCAGGCCACGCAGAAGCACCGCUCCUUCGGCUUCGGCACGUUCCUUGAGCGCGAGGACGCCGCCGCCGCCAUGGACAACAUGAACGGUGCUGAGCUCUUCGGUCGCGUCCUCCCCGUCAACUAGGCCUUCCCGAGAAAAUUAAGGAAGGAGAGCAGGGAUGGGCCGUGCAGCCAGGACGGUGGCGUUGUCUGGCGCCAUGGUGGUGUCGACGGCAGGCCUGGCAAGGUUGGUGCGUCAGUGCAUACUCUGGAGAUGGAUCGGUGGAAGACGGCAGCGAUGGCCUCUACGGUAGGCCUGACAAGGUUGGUGCGUCAGUACAUACUCUGGAGAGUACACUCUGGAGAUGGAUCGGUGGAAGACGACGGUAGCGGCCUCUAAGAGUAUGCCAGACCGGUUUGUGACCCUGUCCCGGUAUUGUGGCUUGGCUGGGGCAUCCGGCUUUAGAUGUUAGACUUUGGUGCGAUGUCUGUUUGGUAAUUCGACUCAGACAUUCAGCAUCCCUUCACCAAUGGGAUAGGAGUAGCGACAGGUUGCCAAGAUGGUGGCUUCAGGCUUACUGAAGUAUUACUUUGUAAGGUCUUUAUGAAUAAUUAAUAAAAUGACUGCAUGCAUCCUUCAGAUGUAGAGGCUGGAGGCAUAUCCUCAUUUUCUAUAAAGAUAAAUAAACAGUGAAAAUUGCUGCGGCAGCUACACCCACACCCAGCCUUAACAGGCUCUCAUCUUCUAUCUCGUUGCACAAGCUAAUAAUGUGCACCGGGUGCUUCAUCUCUUGCAGUGCAGCCACGAGAACAGCCGCGUCAUAGUCGCCCACCACUGUCAGCACACUCUCGUCCCCGUUAGAUGUCAUCGACUUGAUCCCUGACAUCAUUACACACCAUCAGUCGAGAAAAAAGACAUGAAGACAAGAGAUCGGAAAUCACGCGUAUAGUGGAUAGAAAGUCUAGGGAAUACCUUUGAUGUUUGCCACAAUCUGCAUGAUGCAUGAUCUGCAUUUCCCACAGUUGAUAGACACCUUAAUCUGGUUCAGAACAACAAUGGCUAAUCAGUAAAUCACAUAUAUACGGAGUAUAUAGUAUCAUCUUUGUUGAAGGACAGUUGAGUUUCUUUGCACAUGUUUCAUAUACUCCAUCCGUCCCAA